GAUGAACGCUGGCGGCGUGCCUAAUACAUGCAAGUCGAGCGAACGGACGAUAAGCUUGCUUCUCUGAUGUUAGCGGCGGACGGGUGAGUAACACGUGGAUAACGUACCUAUCAGUCUGGGAUAACUUCGGGAAACCGGCUAUUAUACCGGAUAAUAUUUUGCACCGCAUGGUUCGAAAGUGAAAGACGGUCUUGCUGUCUCUACUCGCUGGUUCCGCGCUGCAUUAGCUAGUUGGUAAGGUAACGGCUUGCCAAGGCAACGAUGCAUAGCCGACCUGAUAGACGGAUCGGCCACACUGGAGCUGAGACACGGUCCAGACUCCUACGGGAGGCAGCAGUAGGGAAUCGGCGGCAAUGGGCGAAAGCCUGACGGAGCGAGGGCGCGUGAGUGAUGAAGGUCUUCGGAUCGUAAAACCCUGUUAUUAGGGAAGAACAUAUUUGUAAUGAGACGUGGACAUCGUGACGGUACCGAAUAAAAAAGCCACGGCUAACUACGUG
rnacentral:rRNA from 1 species